UUUCUCGAGAUAAAUUUGUCCAUGGGGGUGUUCCUCUCCGUAGAAAAGAGGCGCCAAUAACUUUAUCAACUGGCUGAUCUUGAUAUCCAAUUUUUUUUCGAUCAUCAGCACAGAUAACAGUUCACUCGACUUGGACAAAUCCAGUGCAGCUAGAGUUGUUCCGAGUGAUAUUCAAUACGUGUGGUCUCAGGCUCUUACAGUGCUUUUGGAGAUUUUUUCGGUACUUAUGUUCGAACUUUUGGGCCCCGUUCUUGAAGUGUUCUCGGCAGAUUGAAAUUUCGGCCAUUAGUAUGAGUAAAGCCAAACAAUUAUACCGCAAAGAUUGCUUUCUUUACUACAAGGACGUUUUCCGCGAUUUUGCUCCAAGUGCCGCAUUGAAAGAAGCGGCUUAGUCAAAAUAUAUCGGCUGAAAUUGUUUUGAUCCAAAAAUAUCCCCCAAAGUCCACUCUACACGUAUCUCAUCACACUUAUGCGUAUACGUUUAUAAUAUCGUUAUUCUAUCCGCAUUUUUUAUCCCGUCAAGCCCUCUCAAAUCCCCGAUCUGACGUCAUCGGAACCCGUCAAGUAUAGAGAAACUCGAAAUCCGUAUACACGCAGCUGGAAGAAAACCAACAAAAUGCCGCGAUACAGUAUCAGCGAGGACAACACGGCAAAGAUCAUGUUUCUAGAACGAGGAUUUGUGGAUAAAGUGGAUGCACCCCAAAACUGGAUGGACGUCGAGGAUAAACAAGUCGAACACUGAGAAAACUCCUCUUUUAGACCAAGCUACCUCUGGGGUCACGACAGCAUCACACCCUCAUAUCAGGCGAGAUGGUAUUCGCAAUAUGGGAACAGGGACGUGCGGUGUGCGAUGUUCUCUUUAUUUAAACACUGAGGUGAACUUCUAGGUAAGAUUCCUGCUUGUUACCAAGCCAAAAUAGGUUUAUUAUAAAAAUUCAAAAUCCCAACUUUAUUUAUCGGUUCGUUUUAGGCAUUUAAAAUGAGAUUCGAAGAAAAAAUAUGGAAAAAUGAAGAGGACGAGUUCAAAUCAAAUCGUUUCCCGAGCAUGGAUUCACAUCGCCAGAAUGGCUUCACUUCUUUCCCGUGCUUUUUAUAGAUACGAGAACUCCGUCUUUAUGUCUUUGGCCCUUCUUCGCUGAUAUCCUCAAAUACACUGAACGUUAUGAAGGCUCGAAAUGGCAACAUAAGCUCCCAAUGACGCAAACAGAGCCAGUUUUGAAUUACCUGAGAAGUCGCGCCUACUUUUGUGAGGCGUCGAAGGUCCUUUAAAGUUCAUUGGAAAAAUCGUCGCUCCUCCGGCGCGGCGUACCGGCGUAUUUUAGUAGUGGUUUUGCAAGUUGGUAACACUGGUUUCCCUACAUCUACAUCCAUUGAAAAUAUCGCUUUUAGGUCCGGCAAGCUGCUUCACCAAGAAUCGAUUGUUUCACAUACAUUUAAAUGGAAGAAAAACGAUGUUGCCAGCUUUUAAGAACACUGGAAAAAAACACAUUGGAUCUAGAGUCCAGACUCUUGAAAACAUUGACAAGAAAAAUACUCUUGAUUCAAUUGGAGUUUUGCUUGAAUUAAAACGAAAUCCGCUUAAAUGAAGGGGCUUGGUUCUUGAUUUAAGCUAGAUUCUGAUUGAAUCAAGAGUACUUUUUCUUGUCAAUGUUUUUAAGAGUCUGUACUCUAGAUCCAAUGUGUUUUUUUUCCAGUGAAUAGCCAGUUUGACUUUUAGCGUUUUCAUAUAUUAUGUGGGACAAAUCAGUUCAGCGAUAUCACAAUUAACAUCGGAUAUAGUCCUUAUUUGUGAACCUUUAAAUGAUUUUUUCCGACUCUUAGACGUCUCAGACCACAAAGUGACAUGUCGGUUGCGCGUGUAAUUGACAGAUAAAUAUGUCCUGUUAUUAACGUAGUGAAUAUGACAUUUUGCGGUCUAAACGUUUCAGUAUGGAUAAUGUUUCAUAUUUCUUUGCGUGAAUUAAUGUACGACAAGGGACAUGAAUGAUCUUCACCUAUUCUCAUUUUUUAUUGUAUUAUCUUUCAAGUGAUUUGCACCCAAUCUUUAGAAACGUUGAAAACUACAUUGAUGAUACUACAAUUUCCUUUAUCACGAAAUUACCACCUUACAUACCUCCACAUAACUUCUAAGCUCGUUCAUACAUACUUAUUUUUCGGUUUGCUUUUUUUUCAUUUCCAAAAAGUAAUUAUCGAUUUCUGAACCUGUUAAAAUUGACCUGUGAAAACCUGCUUGUGUUAAAUUUUGCUGCGGCAAAGAAGUUAUAUCACUCAAAAUCACAAAUAUAUGAAAAUGAAUCGUUCCCUCUUAAAGAAUGAAAUCAGGAGAGGUGUGUCAACUCUGUAAAUAAAGUGCACUAACACAGAAAAAGUCUACCUGCUAAGAUCUAAAAGACGCGUUAGUUCCAAUAAUUAUCAUCAUUGAAAUGCACCCUUAGAAUAGAUGAUUUUACCAUGACGUUUUUUUAGAGAGCCCUUCAUAAAUUUAGAUGCAAUCCAUGAGCUUUUGUCUCAUCUUCACGUUUGACCUCCAAAAGUACAAUGCUCCAAAAAUCUCUAAGUUCCGGAACAAUAGCUCUGCAGCGCAAGGUUGCAAAAGCGAAUAAGGGAAAAGAUUGAUUUUCGAUCAGAUUAAAGAGGAAACUUGGGUAUACUCCGACCAUUUGACAACUCUGUCGUCACAUCUAAUGGGGCAGAUUACUCUGUGUCUAAUCCACGCGGCGAAUUUAAGUCGCAUUGAUUCAUAAAUCAGUUUUUAAUGACACCGUAGACAAUUAAUAGACCGAAUCAAAACGGUACUCUCCUCGGUGUUGUCGGUUUGACGAUCGGGAAUUCUGCCGUGCUGAGGAAGAACGGCGUAUGGCAUUCGAGAGUUGCCACAUUUUUACCAAUAAAAUGUUUGUUCUUGAGGAAAAUUAACGAUAUUUUCCUCGAAAUUUUCAGACUUUUCAGAUCAAAUUGCAAGCAAAAUUACCUGAAAAAUUGGAAGAAAAAUAUUCACGAAUUUCCUGAGUAAUUAGUGAUAUGUCAAAGGAAAUUUGGCAACACGACCUGGAGGCUCAUACGGCGUUUUUCCUUAGCACGGCAGGAUUGGAGGUCUUUUAACAAAACAAAUUCUUCAAAAUAAAAUUUUAGAAAGGCGCGGGCGCUCUGCGACACCUAAUCGCCACUCUUGUCUAUCG
rnacentral:lncRNA from 1 species